GUUCCUUGUCCAUGCCAGGAGUUCUGAGAACACCAACUAAUUAGACUAAACUUUCUGCCUGGAAAUGUAGUCAUGGGGUAUCUGAGGAUAGGGAGCAGUGCAAACAGGACUGUUACUUCUUUUGAAGCAACUGGCAGCUACAACUCAGCAACAUUCAAAGAGAAACUGGGGAAGAAAAGUGAGUACGUGAACCAGUUGGGGCUUAUGAAUGUGACUGAACAACAUAAUUAAGAUGGUUGAAAGACCCAGAAUCAUGGGAUUUUAGAGCUGGGAGGCAGCUAGUGACAGUUGGAAUCUGAACUUGAAUCCAGGUUUUCUGAUACAAGUCCAAUGUUAUUUUCCUUAAGAAGUGUUCUUAAUGUGCAUUUUUGAGCUCUUCCAAUUGCCUUCCCUUUUGGAACAGCAAUAGGAGGAAGGGUGUGUGUGUGUGUGCAUGCACAUGAAUGUAUAUAGGGAUGGGUGGAUAUAUAUUCACACACACACACACACACACACACACACUACAGUCUCUUAGAAGGGACAGACUUCACCUAAUUAGCCAGAAGGGCUAACUACCAUACCCCUUAGUUAGUAUAAAAACAUAUGGGGUAUAUUGAUAAUUCUAGAAUUGAAUUUUACAAAAAAUUAAAAUAGCAUUAAAAGAAAUUAGACCCAGAAAAAUUUGUGAAAUGUCAAAUUUUAAUGGCCAGUGAGAAACUUGGUAAAACAUGGAUUCUAUCAGGCAGGCAUAAGUACUCCAUUGUCAAUUAGGCUGGUUCUUGAAGAUAUUGAAUGAUCUUUUGAGCAGCUAUGUAAACUUGGAAAGAAGAAACAAUGUCCAAACAGGCUAAAAGAGAAAAAGACAUAUUAGAACAAGGACUAGAUUAAUAUCCAUCUGUAUAGCAAUACUGUAACAGAGUAAGGAAUGCCUACUUUUUCAGUUUAGCAGUAUGAAUAUACAAUACGUAUGGAUGUGUAUAUAUGUUUACAUAUAGAUAUAUGUAUAUAUAUAAGAAUCAUAGAAUUAAAAGGGAAUUCACAGGCUAUUAACUCCAAACUCCUCAUUUUCCAGAUGAAGAAAAUGAUGCACAGGAAAGUUAUGUGACUUGCCCAGAAUCACACAGCGAAUAAGUUUUGAAUCAGGAGGUGAACUUAUAGCUUUAUUCUUAAGUCAAGUAAUACCCUAUUUACUACACCAUCCUGCUUCCAGAUGUGUGCACACAAAUGCCUAGAUGAAAGUACACAUACUAAAAUGUAGAGGUGGUUUUAAUUAGGGUUUAUUCUCUCUGUCUAUUUGCGUCUCUCUUAUUUUCAUCUCUUUGUUUCUCUCUGCCUCUGUCUGUCUGUCUCUAUGUGUCUCUGCCUGCCUUUGUGUUUCUCUAUCUCUGUCUCUAUCUUUUCUCUCUCUCUCUCUCUCUCUCUGUCUCUCUGUCUCUCUCUCUCUCUCUCCUUUAUCUCUGCAUCUCUCUUUCUCUUUGUCUCUGUGUCUCUCUUUGUCACUGUCUCUGUGUCUGUGAAAGACAAUUUUCAAAGGAAUAUUUGUUCAAACAGAAUACAGUCUUCCAAGAAGCUUUGUGAUGCAAAACUAACAGAUUCCAGUUUCACAGCCCCCAGAAACAUAUUUAAAAUAAGCAGAAAAAAAGUUCAGGAAAAAAAUCUUGCUAACAAGUCACAAAGAGCUUUUUCUCUCUCCUUCCCAUAACAAGUCUUCAAAUAUUUGAGGAUGUUCUUCCCUCUCAAUCUCAAUAGCCUAAAUCACACUAAGACAAAGGCUAUAUAGGGAGCUUUUAUACAUACACACACACACACAUAUAUACACACACAUACACAACAUAUAUAUGUCUGUAUGUGGAUAUAAUGUAUAUAUGGGUAUAUAUGCUUGUAUAUGUAUCUAUGUAUGUAUGUAUUUAUAAAGAGGCAUCAUAGAAAAUAGAUUGAUCAUACUAGCCAGAAAGACUUGAGUUCAAAUCCCAAAUUCUGAGACAUUUUGAAUGUAUAACCCUGGAUAAAUCAUUUAACUCUCAGUGCCUCCAAAAAAUCCCCAAGAUGAAGAGAAGGUACCAUUUUCAGCAGUAAAAAAAAGUUUCUGCACCAAUGAAAAUGCAAGUCUAGCCCCUUCCCGCCCCAAAAAAAGUGUGUGUGUGUGUGUGUGUGUGUGUGUGUGUGUGUCCGGUUCACUGAGGCAGGAAAGUGACCAGAUGCUCAAAGGCCUGACCAGGGGACCCCACGCCCUGACAAAUCCUAACUAGUAAAGUUUUGAGUAUUAUCCUGGCAGUGAUUUGUUCUAUAAUCUGUACAAGAACCAGCCUCAGCACUUCUACUGUCACCACAAGGUCGGCUGUGAGGAUUUUGUACCACAGAAGUACAUGAAGGUGGGCUACUAAGCAUGGAUCAGGGAAGAGCUGCUUUAGUAGAGGAAGCACUCACACUAAUUGAAUCAUUGAAGCCUUAAAUAUAGAGACAUCAUUUGGGGUGCUUGCCCCUUGCAUCCAACUGUUGUACCAAAAAAAAAAAAAAAAAAAAGUUGCAAAUGUAAAGACUUGGCGUCCCUCAGUGAAGGGGCCAUUAUUGGUGUCCCAGUACUUCCUGUUUCCUGUCUCCAUUGUGUGUGCCCACAAUGCCUUUUCUUACAAUGUUCUGGCAGCUCCACAUGACCCAGGAACUGAGCCAAGGUGAUUCAGGUUCUGUCUGAGUUCUGGGAAGCCAUUCAAGUUUGUUCUGCAAUUCUCCAGGCCAGUUCAAACCCGGUCGUGCUUUAGAAACCCUGUUGUUGUGAGAUGAAUUGAUUAAGAGAUCCAUCUCUGGGCAAGUUUCUUCAUUCCAAGCCUGUGUGUCCAUCCUCUGACUGACAGAAAGCAAAGAUAACCUGUUCACCAUUCUCUCUUCCCCAAGCUGCCUGGAGACCUCCCUUCAUCCACUCCAAAAGAAGCAAACAUAAAACUCAGAUGUCUGCCGACAUACACAAUCUCCAGGUUCCAGACUUGAUUUUUUUUUUGUUUAUUUAUUUUUAAUCUUCCAUGAUAAAGGCAAAUUACAUACUUUCCUUUACAAUCCAAGCAAUCUAAAGAGAACUUUUAGGGGAUACUGUUGGAGAAGAACAUUUUCUUGGCCAGUGCUUCCAUCAACCUUUAAAAUAUUAAGAAGAAAAUGUCCACCCCAUCACUAACUCAAGUCUUCCUAAAGAGCUUCCAUUUCUGGCUUUGACGUCUUUAUAUAGGCUGUGCUUCAAACUCAAUAUGUAUUCCCUCUACAUCUCCACUUUUCAAGAUCCCUAAGUUCCUUCAACAUUGAUAUCAGGUGGUACUUACUGCAUGAUGCCUUCCCUGACUUCUAGAGGUGUUGGAAGAUGGCUAAGAGAAAGUUUCCUAUAGAAAGUGGGAUUUUUAGUUGGGACUUAAGGAAACCAAAGAAGUCAUUGGGUGGAGUGGAGGUCGAACUGUUGGAAGCUAGGUGACACAGUAGAUAGAAUCCUGGGUCUCAAGUCAAGAAGAUCUGAGUUCAAAUCCUGCCUCGGAUGCUAAUAAGCUGGGUGAUCCCUUAGCAAAUCAUUUAAUCUGUUAGUUUCUUCUUCUGUAAAAUGGACAUAAAAUAUUACCUACUUUUUAGAGUUGUAAGGAUAAUUGUAAAAUGCUUAGCAUGGUUAACUAUUAUUACCCCAUAAAAAAUUACCUUUUAAUUUUAUUCUAUAUAUUUGAAUAUAGUUAUUUUGUGUCUUUCUUCUAAAAAAUGUAAGGUGGUUCAAGAGAAGGGUUGUUUUUCUUAUUUCUUUGCAUCCCUGGCCCACAGCAUACAGCUAAGCACAGAGUAAGCACAAAAUAAAUUCUUGUUGACUGAUCAUAAGGUAUUAUUCCAGGAAUUGAGGAUAUAAAAUCAAAACAAAAAACAGUUCCUAGCCUCAAGGAAUUUAUACAACAAAUGUUUGCUGAGUAACUCCAAAGAGCCAGACAAGAUGAUGGAAAUAAUGAAGUCUGAAAUAUAUCUCUGACUAUAAAGAUAAUCUAAACUACUUGAGGAGAUUAGACUUAAACAUCAUCAUCAUCCUCAGACAUGAUAAUUCAAAGCUAGUAUCUAUGGAAGACUUCAAGCAAAAGCCGGAUAAUUAUUUGUCAGGGAUAUAGAAAAAGAGAUUCCCUGCUCAAAUAUCAAUCAGAUUAGGAGAAGAUAAAUGGUAUAAUGGAUAGAGUGCUAGUCCAGAAAUUGAAAGAACCUGAAUUCAAAUUUGGCCUAAGACAUUUACUAGCUGUGUGAUACAAGGCAAGUCACUUAGUUUGCCUCAGUUUCCUCAUCUGUAAAAUGAGCUGGAAAUAGCAAACUUCUCCAGUAUCUUUGCCAAGAAAAUCCAAAAAAUAGAAUCCUGGAGAAUCAGGCAGGACUGAAAUGAACUCAACAACUAUACACAAAAAAAAUAGGUCAGAUUAGGUAACUUUGGUGUUCCAUCCCAUCCCCCAAAUUCCCCUAAUCUUUGUAAACAAGUCUAAUCCUCCUCCUAUAUGACAAGACUCCAAGAAUCUGAAAACUAACUUAUAAUUAAGUCACAUAUGAAUGGAAUGUUAAGUCUAUCCUUUUCCAAGAUAAACACCCUCAGUUCCUAUAAUUAAUUCUUAUAUGGAAUGAUUUGGAGAUUCCUUUCCACCUUAGCUAUCCUCUUCUGGGACACACUUCUGAUCACAAAUAUUCAAAAUAAAUAUGACAUACAUAGCUAAACUCAAUGCUCCAAAUGAGUGUUGAGUAAAAUAGGACUAUCACCUGCUUCAUACUAUAAUUGUAUUGAUAUUAGCAAUAACUAGCAUAUUAAAUCACUUGAAAUUUGUAAAAAAAAAAAAUUGACCUUCAAAACAAUCCUGGGAGGUAAGUACUAUUACUAUAGCAUUCACUUUACAAAAGCAUCUAAAAGCAUCUAGCAAAUAUAUGAGGUCAGAUUUGAAAUCUUUCUGAUUUCAGGUCCAGCAUUCUAUCUAUCCAUUAAUAUGGUCUAAGACUGAAUUAAUCAUUGCUGAUUCAUAUACAGCUCAUUGUCAACAGGUCAUCAUUUCACCAGAACUGCUCUCUCUAAAAUUAUUAGUUGCCAAAUCCAAAACUCAAAUUUUCCUUUGACAUCUCUGCAGCCUUUGAAGAUGUUGAUCACUCUUUCUCCUUGGUACUCUCUUUUUUUUUUAAGGAUCUUCAUAGCACUGGGAAAAAAGGAGGAGGAGACCAAGAUAUAGCAGUGAGUUUCAUUGAAAGCCUGUAUUAUGUCUUUGGUUUACUAGAAUAGCCAGUCCAAACAAGUUUAAUCCAGUUCAACGUGAUCUGAUCUGGUCCAAACUGGUUCAAGCCUAUCCAAACCAGCUCGAUCUGCUUCAAACUAUUUCAAUUCAUAAACUUACUCAAUUUGAUCAGAUCAGUUUAACCCAAUUCAAUCCAGAAGGAGGAGCAGGAUUUAUGAAAACGAAAAUUGUUUUAUUUUUGAAAUGCUAUCUAGACAGAGAUAUCCAGUGGGUAACUGGAGAUCUAUUGUUCAGAGGACAGACCAGGCUCUCUUUUUUCUGAAUUUUCUGAAUAGCCAUGAUAGCUACAGCUUGAUUAUAAAUAAGGUAGGCUGACAGAAGAAAUAGUAUACAGAGAGACCAUUAGAGGAACAAAGACAAAACCUUGGGUUCAAAAACAAAAGACAAGGAGUUUGAAAAGAAAACAAAGGAAAGUGUCUAAAAACUGAUAUAAAGGGAGAAGUGCAAAAAGAAGACUGGAAAAGGCUUUUGAUUUCAUUAUUAAGUAAUUGGUUGGGGUAGCUAGAUGGUGAAGUGCAUAGAGUACCAGCUGGUUUAAUGUUUUUCCUCUAAAUCUCCAGAGCUAGCAUAUGUUCUAAAAGAGAAGACAGUUAAAAGUACUUUAAGAUUGUUUUUAGGAGCAGUUAGGUGGUGUACUGGAUAGAGCACCAGCCCUGAAGUCAGAAAGACCUGAGUUCAAAUAUGAUCUCAGACACUUAACACUUUCUAGUUGCGAGACCCUGGGCAAGUCACUUAACCCCAAUUGCCUCAGGAAAAAAUAAAUAAUUGGUCAUUUGUGCCAGUGAAAUUUCCCUAGAGGGAUGAGGGUGAAUGCCAGAUUAUAAGAAUCUGAGAAAUAAGUAAGUAGUAAGGAAACAGAGUCAUCAGAUAUAAAAACUUUUUCCAAUGGUAUAGUAAUGGAGAUGAGAGAGAUGAGACUAUAGCUGGCUGAGAUGCAAAGGUCAAGGGAAAGCUUUCUUAUUUCUUAAGGACUGAGGCAUCACUAACCAUCUGUGUGACUGCUGAUAAGCCAUUUAAUCUUUCUGAGCCUGUUUCCUCAUCUCAAAAUGAAAAGGUGGGACUCAAUCUCAAAACAGUUUGGUAGAGUAGGAAAACACUGGCUCUAGAAUCAAAGGACCUAGUUUCAUAUCUUGUGCCUCAGUUUAUUCAUCUGGAAUAUGAAAGGUUUUAUUGGAUGUUGUCUGAACUCUUUUUUCAGUUCUAGAUCAUAAUCCCUGUGACACAAUUAACUAAAAUCGUCAAACUACCAAUAUCCCUUCCAUCAUACUCCCAGAAAACUAGCUAAGUCCUUUAGAAUUCCAUUGGGUAAAAAAAUAAUAAUAAUAAAAAUCACAGGUACUUCCUUCUCUGAAUUAAAUCUCAAAAUCAUUGAAUGUCAUUACUAAAAGGAACGGUAAGAGACAUCAAAGUUCGUUGUUCCACUAGGCUUCCUAUUGCUCCUGAACAAAUUCUGCCCCCAGGUCUGGCAUCCAAGGACCUCCAUAAACUGCUUAGAUCCUAAACUGCCCAGCUUUAAUUGUUACUACUACCCUUAAUAUAUUCCCUUCCAUUUUAACUGGAUUCUUCUUCAUGCUAUAUUCAUCCAACUUUUUCAUAUAACCAUGGCUUUUUUCACAUUGCCCCCAGUCCAAUACCUGGAGUUUAAUUUUCCCCCAUUUCCAUUUGUUGAAGUCCCUCCUUUUAAGUUCCUUAAACUUGAAGUCCAAGUUUAACUUGGGUCCCACCUAUUUAAUGAAGUCUUCCCUGGUUGCUCUAAAUUAAAAUGAUGUCUCUCUUCAAAUUCCUUCCAGAACUUUCUCCUCUCUCCCCCCCCCCCCAGGCAAUUAGGGUUAAGUGAUUUGCCCAGAGUCACACAGCUAGGAAGUGUUAAGUGUCUGAGGUCAAAUUUGAACUCAGGUUUUCCUGAUUUCAGGGCUGGUGCUCAAUCCACUACACCAACCAGCUACCCCCUUCCCAGUACCUUUAUGGAACAACACGGCAAUUUUUAUAUUUGUCUCCAUCCUCCCUAUCACUACCACCAUCACUUCCAUCUUAUAAACUCCUUAAAAAAUGGGGGGAAUGUGAAUAUUUAAAGGAAGGUAGAUGGAAGGGUACAAGAAGGAGAUCUGGAGUCAGAAAGCCCUUAAUUAAAAUCUAGCUUCAGACAUAUAUCUCUUUGCUGCCUGUUUCUUCAUCCAUAAAAUGUAGAUAAUAAUAGCACCUGUCUCCCACAUUUGUUAUGAAGAUCAAAUGAUGUAAUAUUUAUAAAGCAUUUAGCAAAACUUAAAGCCCUAUGUAAAUGCUAGCCAUUAUAUGAGCAAUAUCCCUAAGCUGUAUCAUUGCACUCAUUUAUCAAAACACUUAAAUAUUUGUCGACUUUAACUCAUUUUAGAAGAGACAAGCAAAGCAUACAGUGGGAAAAUGGUUUCCUUAAGGUCAUCCACUGAGUUUGUCACAGUUGUAUGAUAGCAACUUAAUGACAAAAAGAAGGGGAAAACACCCACAUAUUUCAAGAACUAUCAUGGCAUUAGAAUUAGAAGGAACAAUAAGGAUUAUUUAGGGUAAUUCACUUCAUUUUAAGAUGAGGAAAUUGUCCUAGACAUGAGAAAGGACUGGUUUAAGGGCAUGAAGCUCAUUAUUAGCAUAGCCACAAUUCAAAUACUGAUUGCUUAGCUCAAAAUCAAUGCCAAAAAUAUAAGUCAUAGGAGAGAGAGAAACAAGCUUUCAAGGAAAGAAUGAAAGAGAAAUAAAAAGCCAUAUAGGCUUCCCCAGAACCUCCAGAAUCAUCCUCUAGACUCUUGUACUUUUUAUGUGCAACUUUAUUCAUAAUGAACUCAUUUACAUUAAUCAAGUGUUUAUUGGAUGAUAUCAAGAAAUCCAUUGGCAUUCCCUCACCUUUCCAAGAUAUUCCUGAAAGAACCUAAUCAAAUCACUUUGCUUGAAUGGCCUGCUCAAAACUAUAUGGGGGGGGGGGAGGAAGCUAGGUGGUACAGUAGAUAGAGCCCAAGCCCUGAAGUCAGGAGGACCUGGGUUCAAAUCUGAUCUCAGACACUUAACACCUCCUAGGUGUGUGACCCUGAGCAAGUCACUUAACCCCAAUUGUCUCAGCAAAAACAUAUAUAGAUAUAGAUAUAGAUAUAGAUAUAGAUAUAUAAUAUAGAUGUUCCUCUCAUUAAGGAAUUCAGUGCAGUAGCCCUUAUCCAACAUUCUGAACAUGCAUUAUCCUGUUUCAGAAAGGUGGGAUUUGGGAAUAGAAUUUAAAACUUCUUUUGCUGUUUCUUUUAAUUAUAUGUGCCCAAUUUGUCUCCACUAUCUUGAUGCAGUACUUCAUCUGACAUCUAGACUAUUUCAAUAACCUUCAAAUUGCCUCGUUUCUCCUCAUUCUACUCCAUUCUCCACUUAGUCAUUACAUUAACCUGUCUAAAGAAUAGAUAUAACUACAUCAUCUCUCUCCCCAUUCAAUAAACUCCAGUGGCUUCUUAUUACCUCCAGUAUCAAAUAUAAAAUUAUCUGUUCAGCUUUUAAAGCCUUUCAUAAACUGGCCUCUUCCUUUCUUUCCAGUCUUUUUACAUAUUAUACUCUGUCAAAUACAUUGGGAUUUAGUGACUCUGACUUCUUUGAUGGUUCUCACACAAGAUACUCUAUCCUGAUUGCAUUUUUACUGACUAAUGGCUAAUGUUUUUCUUUUAUUGACUAUCUUCCCCUUAUCUUGUAUAUAGUUUGUACAUCAUUCAUGAUGUCUACCUAAUUAAACUGUGAAUUUUGGGAAAAGAGGGACAAUUUGAGGGAGUUGGGGAUGUUGACUUUCUUUGUAGAAGAGUGAGAGAAAGAGAGAGGGACAAAAACAGAAAAACCAGUAAAAAGUAGAAAAUAUAUGGUAGGAAACAGUGACACCCAAGACAGAAGGAAUCCCAUAAGACUUUCUCUAUCUAUAUCUGCGCUAAUCAAUAUUAGGAAUAAUAUGUAAAACUACCAUCUAGGAAAACAUUCAAAGAAAUAAAGUAUUUCUUUUUAUUUUUGUUCUAUGUUAAAGUCAAUAAUCCACUUGAGGUUAAAAAAAAAAAGCAUCAACACACACGCACGCACACACACGGACGAACGUAGACCAGUUCAAGAAAAAGAGCAUUAAAUGCAACCCAAAUGACCCCGGAUUCCUGAAAAUCUGGAUACGUAGGAAUUUCAGACUUUCCCUCUCUGCCUACAAACUCUGUAUGUACCUGCAAUGUGUUGUACAAGAAAUAUCUAACUUAUUUUUAUGCUUUUUCCCCCUUUGGAAAGGGGGUGAGUGUGGAUGAUUAUCACACUUCAUAUUUCUUUCCUAAAUUUCUCUCACCCCUCCUCCCCAAAAAAUAAAAAGUCAGUUUCAUUGUCACGUCUACUUUUUAAUGGAUCUUUCAGCUUAGAAGGGAGAGCUGCGCCGUUCCGCCCACGGCCGUGUAAUGAGUACAUACAAGGGAGUUCAUGUUACACGAUUCCUCCCUCAAGGAUGCCCCCUCUCCCCAGAGUUCAAUUUCUAAAGCCCAGAAUAAGCAACCCGGCUGUACCCCACCCCAUAAUCGUAAGGCAUCUGGUGGGGAGGAGGUGGGGUUGGCAGGGCACAGUCAGGGAAGAACUGAGCAAAAGGCGUCAAAGGGCCGGCGUUGUCCUCUCCCCCAGGGGAGCCGAGGCUGGAAGCGGAGUCUGAGGUACCGGGGUACAAGGGGCGCAAAGUUUCGUUCAAGGUCAAGCCGCCGCCCCCGCGAUUGGAAGCAGGGGCAGGCUUCUUGGCUGGGGGGCACGGGGUGCUCCAGGGCUCUGAGUAUAGCAAGCUAGAGACCACGGCGGGGUGCGGAUCGUAGAGGAUGUGUUCCAGCUCCUGGGGGGCCCGCAUGGCAGCUGGGAACAAAUCGAGAGGCUCGGAGGAUAGUAAGCUCCCAACCUCUCCACCCGCACAGUAAUCGGGACUCAAUAGCUCGAAAAACUCCAUCGCCUCGCAGCCUUUCUCCAGCUCGCGAAAGGUCACGCCAGCCCCCGGCUGGCCGCAUCCACCUGCCCUAGACGGUUCGGUGAAGAAAGACGGGGGUAGAUUGCGAUUCCGGAGAGGGACUUUCUUGCCCCCUCCGGCUCCAGCUAUAACCACAGCUGGACCACCUCCUUCGGCUCCCACGCCGCCGCCGCCGCCGCCGCCUCCUCCGGGCGCCACAGCCAAGGUUCCGGCUCCUCCUUUCUCACCACAGUUCCCUCGAACCUGGUGCAAAGAGUCGAAGAGGGCAGCCAGGCUCUUGCUCUGAAGACUGGCGGCGGCCUGGGAGCCUUCCCGUUUCGGGGGUGCUUUGCCCUGGGGACCCGGGGCUGCGGGAGAGGCAGCAGGCAGUCGCUUCGGGGGCGCUUCGGGAGUCCCAGCCGGGCCAGCAGCUGCGGGGCCGGGGGAUGGAGAGACGGAAGGAGCAGGGCCCGAGGCAGAGGCCGUAGAGGAGGUCAUCAUACCAGUGCAGCGCUUGAUCUGCUUCUGGAGAUAUUUGCGGUGGUUCACCUUCCGCUUGGACUUGACGGGCUUGUCCAGGGCCAGCUUGAUGUUGCUAGACGCCGAAUCGAUGAAGCUCAGCAGAACUCUCCCGAUGUCUGCCCAAAUCAAAGUAACUAACUGUGCCUGGCUCUUUGGUACUAACCAGCCCAGGGCUCCACCGAGAAGACAAUCAGCAAUAGAGAGGUUGGCUCCAGAGAUGCACAACUUACCCUGGAAUGGAGAAACCCAGGCUCUGUCCCUAACCCCAGUAC
rnacentral:lncRNA from 1 species